CACGUAGGGGGCAAGCGUUGUCCGGAUUCAUUGGGCGUAAAGAGCUCGUAGGCGGUUCGAUAAGUCGGGUGUGAAACCUCCAGGCUCAACCUGGAGACGCCACCCGAUACUGUCGUGACUAGAGUCCAGUAGGGGAGCGUGGAAUUCCUGGUGUGAGCGGUGAAAUGCGCAGAUAUCAGGAGGAACACCGAUGGCGAAGGCAGCUCGCUGGGACGGUACUGACGCUGAGACGCGAAAGCGUGGGGAGCAAACAGG
rnacentral:rRNA from 1 species